rnacentral:ncRNA from 1 species
CGGUCCUCGGUAGUGGCUCUCGGGACGCCGUCCCGCGGGCCUCGAUCGAAGAUCGG